rnacentral:rRNA from 1 species
UACAGAGGUCUCAAGCGUUGUUCGGAUUCAUUGGGCGUAAAGGGUGCGUAGGUGGCGCGGUAAGUCGGGUGUGAAAUCUCGGAGCUUAACUCCGAAACUGCAUUCGAUACUGCCGUGCUUGAGGACUGGAGAGGAGACUGGAAUUUACGGUGUAGCGGUGAAAUGCGUAGAUAUCGUAAGGAAGACCAGUGGCGAAAGGCGGGUCUCUGGACAGUUCCUGACGCUGAGGCACGAAGGUCAGGGGAGCAAACGGG